rnacentral:rRNA from 1 species
AACGAACGCUGGCGGCAGGCCUAACACAUGCAAGUCGAGCGCUCAUCUUCGGAUGGGAGCGGCGCACGGGUGAGUAACACGUGGGAACCUACCUUGAAGUAUGGAAUAACUGAGGGAAACUUCAGCUAAUACCGUAUACGCCCUACGGGGGAAAGAUUUAUCGCUUCAAGACGGGCCCGCGUUGGAUUAGCUAGUUGGUGAGGUAAUGGCUCACCAAGGCGACGAUCCAUAGCUGAUUUGAGAGAAUGAUCAGCCACACUGGGACUGAGACACGGCCCAGACUCCUACGGGAGGCAGCAGUGGGGAAUAUUGGACAAUGGGCGCAAGCCUGAUCCAGCCAUGCCGCGUGAGUGAUGAAGGCCUUCGGGUUGUAAAGCUCUUUCAGAUGGGACGAUGAUGACGGUACCAUCAGAAGAAGCCCCGGCUAACUUCGUGCCAGCAGCCGCGGUAAUACGAAGGGGGCUAGCGUUGUUCGGAAUUACUGGGCGUAAAGCGCGCGUAGGCGGCUUUGUCAGUCAGGGGUGAAAUCCCGGGGCUUAACCUCGGAACUGCCUUUGAUACUGCAAGGCUUGAGUCUGUGAGAGGAUGGUGGAAUACCCAGUGUAGAGGUGAAAUUCGU